GUAUGAUAAUGUGAUGAAAAUCACCUGGAUAAGAUGAGCUAAUGAUGUGUUAAUGACGAUGAUGUGUUAAUGAUGAGUAAUGAUGAUGAGCUAAUGAUAAGUUAAUGAUGAGGUUAUGAUGAGCUAAUUAUGAGUUAAUGAUGAUCUAAUUAUGAAUUAAUGUGUAAUGAUGAAUGGCGUGAUGAUUGACACACCGAGAACGGAUGGCAUCUUGUAUGUAAUUAGUUAAUGUGUAAUGAUGAAUGACGUGAUGAUCGAGUCAUGCUGAGUUGUGGCAGAUGUGGCUGCAAGUACCGCCGCACAGAUAGUGUCGAAAGGGUCCAAAUGGCUGCGGCUGGGAAGUUGCGUAGGUAGCCUCGAGACAGUUGUUAACGUAAAAUCUCGUGGGAUGGGCCAUCACAAGGAGGGACGUCCGUAAGCGUGCCAUAGGUCCUUAGAGUCUAGCUUGUUCACUGCAUAAUAGAUCUUAUUAACUUGUAAUUGUGAUGAUUGUUUACUUUUCCUGAUCUGAGUUUGUGGGUUCCUUGAACCUACACUCUCUGAGUAAUCACUACUCACCCCUCUCUUUUUAGGUAUAGCCGAGAGAGAGCAGGAGUAGG
rnacentral:lncRNA from 1 species